UGUCUGCCUUCCUCUCAUCCUGUGCCCAAUU
rnacentral:piRNA from 1 species